CAUGCAUGGCUCUGAAGGACGAUGGAAAAGAGAAUUUCUCCAAUGGAUACAAUGGAUAUCAUAAACAUUGCCUGGAAGAGGGUGACAUGAUGUCUCAUCUACACCAGUUCAUGGAACCAGGACCACUGAGAUGCCCCGAGUACAAAGGGAACAUAGAGGAAGAAAGUCAUCAUACUAAAGAUUUCAGGAUAUCAGGAUGGGAUUGUCACUGAGAGCUAGAAGAGCAAUAAACUUCCCUCAGAGAUGGGCGUUUUAAUGCAG